GUAAAGCCCCCCGCACACGACGCUUGUUUUGCUGCUGGAUUGCUUGCUAGAUUUUACCGCUGGGUUCCAAGUUGGCUGUGGCGCUGGGUGCAACGAUGGCACCCUCGUUGGGUUGGCUUCACACGAUGCUUGUCGCUAGGCGUGCUGGCGUGCAGGGAGCCUAGAGAGAAAGUAUAGGCGAAUACGUAGUCCCAGCAUUUCUAACCUCAACAGUACCAUGGACGCUCGAGUGCAACAAACUAUUGCGGCUGAAAUAAUUCGACGUAGGAAAGCAAUUAUCGUGUCAGCUGUAGCAACUGCUUUUAAACGUAGACAUCUACUGAAACAACGAAAACGUAAAUUGUGGAGUCGCGAGUGGCUGUUACGGCGUGAUAGAGGACAGAAUGUUCUAAAUAUGGUAUUUCGUGAGCUCGGCCCUGAAGAUCCAGCCAGUUUCACCAAUUAUACUUGAAUGAUGGAAGAUGACUGGAAUGAGUUGUUGACACUUCUGACUCCGGCCAUAAAAAAACAGGAUACCGUUAUGCGUCAAGCUAUAUCACCGAGGGACAGACUCACUGUGACUCUUCGAUAUUUAGCAACGGGCAAUACCUUUCAAGAUUUGAGCUACUCCACUCGCAUAGCCGCGAACACAAUUUCAAAAGUGAUUGACGAAACUUUAAGAGCAAUAGUAGAAGUACUCGACUCAAAAGUAUGGAAUUUCCCAUCAUCGCUGGAGGAAUGACAGGUUAUCGCUCACAAAUUCGAUACUUUAUGGAAUUUUCCUCAUUGCAUCGGUGCGCUGGAUGGGAAACACAUCAAUUUUCGUCCCCCUCGGAGUGACGGAUCGAUUUACCGUAAUUAUAAGGGAAAAGACAGCAUUGUGCUUCUGGGUCUUGUCGAUGCUGAAUACAGAUUUUUGUUCGUUGACGUCGGAAGAAAUGGACGUAUGCACGAUUCUGCUGUUUUGCGUGAGAGCCCAUUAUGGACUAAGAUCAACGAUGGAACGUUGAACUUACCUGCUCCAUGUGAAAUUCCAGGCUUUUGAUACAAAUUACUGUACGUGAUUGUCGGUAACGACGCAUUUGCCUUGAAACCUAAUUUGUUAAAGCCGUAUCCGGAUAGAAACUUGACGCUUGACAAAAGAAUAUUCAACUACAGAUUGAGCCGUGCUCGCAGAACUGUUGAAAACGCUUUUGGCAUACUGGCAAACAGAUGGCGCGUUUUACUUUCUACGAUAUCUCUCUCCGUUCAAAAAGUAGAGAGAAUAACUUACGCGUGUGUGCUUUUACAUAAUUAUUUAAUCAAUAAAUCUAACAAUGAUUCCAGUCAAUGGUACGUAGCGCAUAAUUACAGAAUCUCAACCCGCGUUGAUAGUAAUUGUAAUGCAGUACAAUUAUCCGAAGGGCAGAAUGCCUCCCUAUAUCUGAGAAAUAACCGAAGCAGUAACGAAGUUCUAGAGAUACGAGAUAAAUUUUGUGAAUACUUUAAUACUACAGGCAUAGUGCCAUUUCAAUAUACCGCUAUUGAACGAGGUAACUAUUAGUCGUUGCUCUACGAGCAAGUUCAUAGUAUUUAUUCAUUUAUUAAUUUAUUUACUAGCACUGCGGCCGCGGCUUGUAUUUGUAUUUGACAGUAUUUGUACAAUGUUUAUACAGAAAUAAAUAAAUGCCAUUACUGGUUUUAUAUUA